rnacentral:lncRNA from 1 species
UGUAGAGAACAGAUUGAGUUGAACUUUUUGUCUUCUCUGUUUUUUCUAAGUUGUAAUCUGUCGAUGAUUCUUGAACCAGACUUUCCAAUAUUUCAUUCAUUUUUGUUGUUCUGCAGAUGUAAACUACAGCUGUUUCGCCGCGACAAGUAAAAAUUAUGUGAAGCAAGCUGGACAAUAGCAAGGAGCGAAAAUGGCAUCUUGAUCUGAACUGGGUGGCCUGCCCUGUGGAUCUCAGUGCUUCAAUUAAUUACCGAGACAGGAGGAAUAAAACGGGGCGGUCUUGGCAAAUGGUGGAUCUGCCGCAUUCAUCAUUCCGUGAUACACAUGGGAUGAGCACAAUAAUGAUGUAAGUACCUGGAUCAUUUUAAUUCCCUUUCACUGCAAUUGCAUAUAGCUUCUCUAUUUGUUUUGCUUGGGAGCAAAAGGCCAUAUAUAUGUGCAUCAUUGUUGAGAUACUAUUAUAUUUUGCACGCGAGAGAUAUGCAGUGUGAAAACAGCAUAGUAGAAGCAAAGAUUAGUUAGGAAGAUCCGUAGAAUGGCUGCAUGCAUGAUGGGUCCUCACAUGAGAGCUUUCACGCAGGCAUCAUUUUAUCUUCCUCUGCAAACAAACAUCACCAUCUCCCAUCUGUCCCUCCCUCCUCACUUAAUUAUUCGCCCCCCGCCCCCCUCAUCUCAUCCUCUCGAGUCCCUGCCUUUUCCACACCAUCUUUUCAACCUCAUACACGCGCGCAUAAUUAUAUCAUAUUGUGUUCCCCCCGGCUUUCUUCUCCUCUGACAUUCCGGUCAGUACGCUUCAUGCAUGUGUUCCAUCAUGCCCGCUGCUUCGCACAAGCUGAGCAGCACUGAGUGGUGAGAGGUGAGAUUGCGGUGCGUGCAUGGCUUGCGGUCAAGUAUAGGGUUCGUUCUUGCAUGCACUAUAUAAGCCAGGCAGUCGGCCAGCCGGAAGUUAAGUUGGUGGGAGGCAAUGCAUGUCAUUGCUGCUCUUAUGCGUGUUUGCCAUCCUCUUAAAGCAGUGGCUGGGAAGCAUGCAUACAUCCCCUGCUUCGCCGGUACCACGCACUCAGGGCCGUAAGCGGUCGCUGUCGAUCUCAUCUCGGGCUUUCUGGCUUGUCUCUAAUGCUGCCAUCUACAUGGUGCUUCAGCAUCAUCCUUGAGCCAUAAUCACCAGCUUGUUAUAUGUGGUAGGUGAGUUCCGUAUAUGCAUUACUGUUCUUCCCUUAUUGCCACGUCGUUAGUUAGCCUGGUUAAUAUGUGUGGGCUUGUGGUUGACAUUUCCUCUCUUUUUUCAUUCUUCUCCAGACAGUCAUUCCUUUACCUCUAGCUCUUUUUGUCGAAAAACACUUCGCCUUUGUGGCUCAGUAUACAACCAGCCCAGGGCCCUAUAGAUUAUAUGCUUUGCUUUUUAAACCCAUUUGUUACCUUUGUAAGUUGCUGUUUGAAUGUCUCAUGAAACAAGAGCGACUGUUUUCCCUGAGUGGUAGAGCUACCUUGUUCCUAUUAACAUAAAGUACGUGUGAUGUAGAUAACUAGUUGGACUUGGACAGAAGAUUUUUAGUACCUGUCAUUCCAGGCUGAGCUAUAUAUAUCUGAAGACAUUAUCACAGAUAAUUUCAUAGUAAGCAGUUCUAUAGGUCAUUCCUGUCAAAUAUAUGAUGUCAAGUUUAGUUAGUUUUCUUCUCUCUAGCAUACCUAUCCAACAUGAUAUAACGGGACUGUUCUGUAUCAUGAUCUGGAGAAAUUCUUCCAUGCAUGUCUGUUUUCUUCUCCAGUAUGUUCCUUAUGAUUGAACUUAACCGCCUCGCUGAUCUAAGUCGUGUGUUUCUUUACUCAUUCCCUGCGACUAUAACGCCAUGUUGAGUUUCUGUUGUCUACAUGCUUUUGGCGUCAGUUAUUUGCUAGUACCCAGAAGUAGCAGAGACCUACAUUUCGUCGCUGAUUCUGUGAGUUAUUUCAGGACUUUGACAUAUAGAAUGUUUGAUCUAUAAGUGUUUAUUUAUUUAUUUAGGUACGAUCGUAGCAAAGUAGAACAUAGCCUGUAUCAAACUAGCUAGAUAAAACAAUGUGAAGAACAUGUGGGACUAACAUUUCAGGCCCAUGCAUUACUAACUGUUGAAGUUAAGACUUCAUAUAAUAUAUGCACCCCAGGGACCUAGAUAAUUUUCUUGGUGGUCCUCGUGAACACACUUUUUUUAAGCAAGCUAGCUACCAUUAUACGUAUAUAUAAUCAAAUAUACAGCAUGCAUGUAAUCAUAAAUACUUCAUCCCAUAGCCCUUUGUUUCUGUAAAAGAAUUAGCUGAUGAUGAACUAAAUGCAUACUCAUAUGCACCCAUAUAGAGAAGAAUGAUGGCUCACCCUUCAGACCACAGAGGGAGAAUGAUUAGUCAUACUUAUUAAGAUUAAGUAAGUGUUUACGUUAUUUACAUCUUUGCCUAAUUUAUUUGAAUGUAAUAUUGGUGUCUUAUGUGAUCUAGUUAUUCUGAACAAUCUUUGCUAAAUUAACUGGAAGAUCUUCACGUUGUCAUUUGUACUUGUUAUUGUGAAAGUACUAGAAACAUGUAAGGCUAAACAUCUUCUUAGCAGUCUGCUGAAUAUUUUUGUUCUCUGACAUGAGGCUUAUAGCAACGGGCAACAAAUGUAGAACUAAAUGUCAUGUUAUAAAAAUGAGCACAGUUGGUGUUCGAGCAUAUAUAUUGGCACAACUGGGCAUAUGGCUAUCAAGUUCGUUGAAAUACCAACAGAUUAAAAUUCCAGAAUUGAACUGCGUUGCCUUCUACAAAUCAUAAUUCAUGAAGCCUUUAUGUUCUCCAUGAUAUUAUUUCAUAUAUAUAGCAACACAGAGAUAUGUAAUUGUAUAUUUAGUACAAUGUCCCCUGAAGCACGUAAGCAGCACAACACUACACACAGCAUAUGUAAUAGUCUUAUUUACACGGCGUUAUGUAACUCAAAAUACUUAUCUGUCCAAUAAUUGAUAUAUGAUCAUCAUCCUUAUUGUAACUCCUUAAUAUAAUAAUUAUAGAUGGGAUGCUAGUAUAUCCGAUUGGUGCUGCUGCUCAUCACUUCCAUGGAUCAACUUGACUGCUCGAUGUUGAGGUCGACGCGUAAUCAGUUGCUACCUCUUGCACCUUCUCGUUGAGCUGAAGAAUGUCUCCUUCAUGAGCAUAAUCGACACCCUUGGCUGCAUCGUUACUAAGCUGAGAUGCAACGAACUUGUCCAGAACUCUCCAGUCGGUGGCAGCUUGGUCGUCGACGGCAUGGUCAAUAAGUUGAACAUGGUGGUGCUGGGCAUGGUGCACAUUGAUCUGGUGAUCGUCUUGCGAUACCAAAAGAGAGUGGAAGGAAGAAGGGCUCUCUAGCUCGUGAGGAAUGGUGUUGAGAACAUGAUGAUGGUUUGGCAUUUGGUACUGUAGCUUCAGCUCUCUCUUGUAGGUGUUGUUGAGCAUCUGGAGGUGCUGUUCUUGCAGCGCCAUGCUGUGAUGAGGCGGCAUUCNNNNNNNNNNNNNNNNNNNNNNNNNNNNNNNNNNNNNNNNNNNNNNNNNNNNNNNNNNNNNNNNNNNNNNNNNNNNNNNNNNNNNNNNNNNNNNNNNNNNNNNNNNNNNNNNNNNNNNNNNNNNNNNNNNNNNNNNNNNNNCCAUUCCUCUCAUCGGAGAAUUUAGAUCAUGCAUGAAGGGCCCAUCGUCAUCAACAUACCAGCAUGGUGCAUCAUGGUCUAAAUCUCUUCUUGUUGUGGGCAAUCUCUUCUUGAACACCCUGCAUACUACCCAUCCUUCCUCCUGAAAUUUACAAAAUUAAUUAGACUAUAUUAAUCUGUUGAGUAGCAGCUUGCAGGGUUUAUAUUCGAGUCAAGAUUGAUGGAACGAGAUCGAUGUAUAUAAAAU